CCUCGUAAUAUGCGUCCUCACCAUCUGUGAGAGAAUUAGAACAACGGAAAUUUAGUCAAUAGAAUCAACAGAUUCGCACAACAAGAAUUCAAGAAUGUGAAGUUUUUCCUAAGGGUUCGGCAACCUCUCGAAGAUAAGUACAGACGUCUCCGUACCGAUCCGCAAGACUCUACUAAACCUGCUCAUGACUCGUGAGACCUAUGUAACUUAGGCUCUUAUACCAACUUGUCACGACCCAAAACCUCACCCGUCGUGAUGGCGCCUAUCGUGAUACUAGGAAGCCGACAUUUUCAAAACACUUUCAAAAUACUUCAAUAUUUCAUAAAAAGGAUAAUUCAAAGUUUUUUCAUACUAGAAAGUUUUACAAAAGCCGGAGUUGAAUUCAAAAUAAAAUACAGAAAAAUAGCCCCAAACAUCGGGGUGUCACCAAGUCAUGAGCAUCCAGAUAUCCAGUCUAAUAAAAACAGUGUCUAAGUAUCAAUAUAGAAAAGAAAGAAUACAUAGAAGGAGAGACAAGGUCUGCGGACGCCGGCAGCUACCUCGUAGUCUCCGGUACUCGAUCGCGCACGAACUCAAUGACCUCCAUGAUCAAACACACCUGGAUCUGCACAUGAAGUGCAUGGUGUAGUAUGAGUACAACCAACUCAGCAAGUAACAGAAAUAAAUAAGGAACUGAAAAGGUAGUGACGAGCUAUACAAAUACAGUUCAUUUUCAAUAAUUCCAGCAAAGAAUAGACAUGCUUUCAAAUCCGGCAGUUCAAAUCAAAUCAGUUUUAUAUAGUUACAGUGCAGGUAAAUCCAAAUAUAGAAUCUUUCAAAAAUUUCACAACAAUGACAAAUAGCAACUAAGUGCAUCAACAAAUGAAAAAGCAAGUACAGCCUCUCAGGGCAACAGUCACUCAACUCGUCACCACAACUCAAUCACUCGGCUCUCAGCCCUCAGUACUCACACUCAAUAGGUACAUGUGCUCAUUGGGGGUGUGCAGACUCCGGAGGGGCUCCUUUCAGCUCAAGCGCUAUAUUCGCAUGGACAACUCAUGUGAUGCACAGAUAACUCACGUGCUAUAGUAUCAAUAUAUGGAACCGCACGGAUAACUCAAGUGUUGCACGGAUAACUCACGUGCCACAGUAUCAAUACGUGAAACCGCACGGAUAACUCACAUGUUGUACGGAUAACUCAUAUGCCAUAGUAUCAAUACCUCACAAACAGGCCCUCGGCCUCACUCAGUCAUCAGCCUCUCUAAUCUCUUGUGGUCUCGGAAAUCACAAAGAUUGGCCCAAACAAAGAUAACGUAGUGUAUCAACAAAUAUCAAGAAGAGGCUGAGAUAUGAUACGUAAAUAAAACUAUGACUGAGUACAAGACAACAAUCAACAAGUAAUUCAUCAAGUGCGCGACCUUUGCGGGUCCCAACAGUACCAUCACAUAGCCUAAGCAUGAUUUCUAACAUGAUUUGCAAUCAAUUUCUAUAACACAGGGAGAGCAUAUAGCUAGUAACAAGUUAUUCAACUUUACAGUUUCAUGGAAUGGGCUAAGUCCCAAUUGCUACGGUGUACGCCCACACGCCCGUCACCUGGCAUGUGCGUCACCUCCAAAAUACUCACAUAAUCCAAUAAUCUGAGGCUUCAUACCCACAGGACCAGAUUUAAAAGUGUUACUUACCUCAACCGCGCAAAACUCCUACUCCAAAAUGCCUUUGCCCCUCGCAUCAAUCUCCAAACGUCCCAAAUCUAGCCACAAGCUGUAUGAUAUAAUUAAUAUAAGCUAAACGAAUCAAUUCCGAAAGAAAAACACAAAAUUAUAAGCCAAAAUCCGAAAUAGGCUCAAACCCGGCCCCCGGGCCCACGUCUAGAAAUCAAACAAAAGUCACAAAACCCGAAAGCUCAUUCACAUACGAGUCUAACCAUACUAAAUUCAUCAAAAUCCGACAUCAUUUGGUCCUCCAAUUCCCUAAAAUCCACUCUCCCAUUCUCAAGUCCUAAACUCCCAAAUUUCACUUCAAAAUCUCGCUAAUUAGGUGGGGAAGUCAGUGGGGAAUCAAGAUUUAUGAUAAAAAAAUGAGUACAAGAAACUUACCUCAAUAAUCCCCUCGAAAAUCUUCUCCAAAAUCGCCUAAGUCCGAGUCUCAAAUGGUGAAAUAAGACUAAAAUCGUGAACCCUUGCCUUUUAAACCUUCUUCCCAGACUUUUCGCAUUUGCGGACCCACUGUCGCAUCUGCGGAAAAUCCAACGCAGGUGCGAAUUUCACCUAAAAUCCCAGAUUCCGCUCCUGCGGCUUCAAGACCGCAUCUGCGGAAACCCAUCACAUCUGCGACUAAAACUCAUGUAUGCGCCCAGUUGUCCGCUUUUGCGACCAUCGUAGGUGAGGGAAAAUCUUCGCACUUGCGACUUCUGCUCAACUCCUCCUUGGCUGCUUCUGCGGUCCCAUCCCCGCUUCUGCGAGCUCGCACCUGCGGUGCCCACUCCGCAGGUGCGGUUACACCAGUAGCAGCAACACUUCAGCUGCUUCAUCAAUUCAAAAGUUCAAGUCCGUUAACCAUCCGAAAUCAACCCGAGGCCCCCGGGACCUCAACCAAACAUACCAACUAGUCAUAUGACCCAAUGCAAACUUAGUCGAACCUUCAAAUCACUCAAAACAAUAUCAAAAUACCGAUUACACCCAGAUUCAAGCCUACAGAACUUCUAAACUUCCAAAUUCCACAAACGAUACCAAAACCUACCAUACCAUGUCCGAUUGACCUAAUAUUUUGCACACAAGUCAUAUUCAACACUACGGACCUAUUUCAACUUCCGAAAUCAGAAUCCGACCCCGAUAUCAGAAAGUCAACCCCUUGGUCAAAUUUUUCAAAAAAUUGACUUUCGCCAUCUCAAGCCUAAAUUAGCUACAGACCUCAAAUUCACAGUCCAGACAUGCUCCUAAGUCCAAAAUCACCCAACGGAACUAACAUAACCGACGGAACUCCAUUCCGGAGUCGUCAUCACACACUUCCGACUACGGUCAAAAUCCUGAGACUUAAGCUUUCGUUUUAGGGACUAAGUGUCCCAAAACACUCGAAAACCAAAAAUAAGACCUCCCGGCAAGUAACAUAAGCCGAAACAGAUACGAAAAAAAUAGUAAAUAGGAGAUCGGGGCUAAUACACUCAAAAUGACCGGCCAGAUCGUUACAAGUUAACCUAAUCUUAUUUGAACUAAACCUUAUCCUUUCUUCUCCCAGUAAUCAUACUGUACAAAUCUGUUAAGGUCAACUUAUCUUUCCUCACAAUAUGAUCAUGAUACUGUUUCAUUUCUCUUUGUUAUAAAUAUUGAUAAUUGGUUAUACUGAACUUAACUGUUUUCUUAAUUAAUCAACACCCUCAACUGCAUCCUUACUUGGUAUAAUGUCUCUUAUAUCUUAUCUUUAGGGUCAUCAUUCAUCUUUGAAAAUCUAGCAUGCAUUUUAUCUUUUUAAGAGACCUAGUUACUCUUACCUGACUAAGUGAUAACUUGUAAAAAUGGAAGCAUGAUCAUCUUUGUAUUCAUGUGAUAACCCAGACUUAAGUUUGAGUUGAACUUGACCUGGUAUAAUGUCUUUCCCUUUUCUAUAACUUUGCUUAAUCUAAUCCUACAAAAAAUGUGUAAAGUUUCCUCUGUUUAUAUAAGAUCACUAUUGCAUUUGAAGUAUUUAAGUAUCUGACUGAAUACUGCAUGUUCUUACUUAGUUUCUGAUAUAUUUUGUCCAGAAUUGCCUUAUUCCUUGAUCUCCCGAUAACUUUAAAACCAAACUCAAUCCCUAGGCCUCAUAAAGAUCCUUGCUGAUACUAUCUGAACUUGAUACCAUUAGGAGUAUGAUGCUUAGGGAUUCCCUGUUAGUAUGUAAAUUUGUGGACCUAUUGAGAAAGUUGAUCGUGUCAUAGAUAUCUUUGAAACCUUUAUAUAUGCUGAGUUAUUGUUGUAUAGCUUUACCUUUCCUUGGAGUAUUGCUUUAUUCUAAAUUUAGACUCUUGUAACAUGUUUGUGAUAUUUCUGAUGUUCACUUGUAUGAGUUUCAGAACCAGAUCUUUAGAAUUCAUUUGAUACAUGUUUGUUUUGGUAAUUCAAUAUAGACUAUAUAUUCUUAUGUUAGGAGGGAAAGUAUAUUUUGUGAAAGGUAAAGCUAUUGAAUUCAAUUUACAUUGGAAGGGCCUCGUUGACAUUUAAACCCGUAAGGAACACGUGUUGUUAGUGUUUAAGGGUAUUUGGGAGUGGAGUUCGACUCUAGGUUGAGAUGUCCACCCCGGCACAGGCAUUGCCCUAGGCCUUGAGUCCCUUGAGAACAUUGAAGUGUCGGGGAUCCAAAGGGAGCAUCGACCUUGGGUGGAGCUUCCUCCUUAGCCCUUAAUUCAUUGACACAUUUAAUUCUUUAGGGGUUUAGUGUUUAAUGACAACGAAAGGUUUUCAAUGUGAAUUAUUUGCUAAGUAGAACCACCACAUUAAUAUAACUUCCCACAAUAUUGAUUAUUUUCUUAGUUCAUUUAUUUGUCUAUAUACCUGUCAUGUGUAUUGGAAUCUGCUGAGAUUGUGGGAAUAUUUCUAAUGACCUUCUUUUAUUUUUUGGGCAUGUGUACAUUUGGGUGUCACGACCCGAAAUUUCUACCUAUGGAACCGUGAUGGCGCCUAACAUUUCACUUGCUAGGCGAGCCAACGUUAGAAUAUAAUUAGCCAUUUNNNNNNNNNNNNNNNNNNNNNNNNNNNNNNNNNNNNNNNNNNNNNNNNNNNNNNNNNNNNNNNNNNNNNNNNNNNNNNNNNNNNNNNNNNNNNNNNNNNNNNNNNNNNNNNNNNNNNNNNNNNNNNNNNNNNNNNNGUAAAGUGAAUAAUCCAUAAUAAUCGCGAUAUCUAAAUACCAUCCCAAAACUAGAGUCACAAGUGCACGAGCUUCUAGAAUAAUACAAAUAAGGGUCUGAAUGAAAUAAAGUUGUCUGAAAGAAAGCACACAGCUAAAAUAAAGUAGAAGGGGACUUCAGAGCUGCGAACGUUAUGCAGCUAUACCUCAAGUCUCCACUGGUAGUUGAAUCCGAGCAAGUCUAUGGUACGUCGCUGAGACCAACUUCGAAAUUUGCACAAGAAGUGCAGAGUGUAGUAUCAGUAUAACCAACCCUAUGUACUGAUAAGUGUCGAGCCUAACCUCGACGAAGUAAUGACGAGGCUAAGGCAGGUCACUUACUUUAACAUGUACGCAAUAAUAAUAAUAAUAAGUAAGACAUGUAAAUCAUAUCAAUAAUUAAAAUUAUUUCAGCAGUCACAACCAAUUAUUUCUUUUCUCAUUCUGUUCCGGCGUGCAACCCGCUAAAACAAUAUAAACUUAAAAUAUAAUCUGUUGCGGCGUGCAACCUGAUUCCCCAAUAUAAUCCUUCAAUUAAAUUCCUUUACGGUGUGCAAUCCGCUCCAAUAAUAUAAUUUAACAACCCUUAAAUGUAAUAUAAAUACUCCAAUAAAUACCACAUUCGAUAAGAAAUUAUUAGGCAACAAAGCAUACAAUAUUUAUAAAUUAUUUAGGAAACAAGUAAUGACAGGUAGCAAUUAAGUCACAUAAGUCAAAUAAGCAUGUAACAAUUAUAGCAUAAAUUCAAGACUUAAUAUGUGGCGAAGAAUAUGAGAGAAACAAUUAAUAUAAUAAUUAACUCAUGAUAAAGAAAAUAAUUUAAGAUUUCCAGAUAAAUACGCAAACAAUCAAUUUGACGACGUAUAGACACUCGUCACCUUGUCUAUACAUCUUUACACAAGAAAUUCACGUAACAAAUAAUUUAAAGGUUUUAUUCUUUCAAGUCAAGGUUAACCACGAUACUUACCUUAUUCCGCAAUUUUAAAUGAUCACUCGAACACGGCUUUUUCUUUCGAAUUAUUCUCCAAAUCAAUCAAACCUUAACCUCAACCGGACAACUCGAAAUUGACGAACCAAAACUGGCUGGAGCCUUAAGAUCGGAAACCCGAACAGCAACCUCGACCGGACCAACUCGAAAUUGACGAACCAAAGCUUCACUCAAGCCAGCAAAGAAAUCUGACAAAGGAAGCUAAACAGAGUUUUUAAAAGAUACUUUUGGUAGAAUUGGGAUUUGUCUUUAUUUUGUAGAAGAAGAUGAGAUUUCAAAGGUAACAAAAAAUGAGAAGUGAAGUUAAUGCUGAUUUUUAACUUUUGGUCCUGCGUUUUAUGAUGGGAACUGGUAAUAUAAGGAUGUGCUGUGAUGAUGUUAAUGGUGUUUCUAUAGUAAAUCUCACACGGUGAAAAUGGGGGUCUAGAGGUGAUUUACAGUAACGAUGGAAGUGGAUUUAAUUGACGAAAGUCUGAGUGCGAGUUAGUGCUUAAAUGAAGUACCUGUGUCCUUUCUGUUCCUCUCUAUCUCGUCCCCAAAUUUGUUUCGUUCUCCAUUUCUCAGAUCUCUUUUCCUCUCUCUAUCUCUCUUUUU
rnacentral:lncRNA from 1 species